UUUGCUUUCUGGGUUUCUCUUAAUUUCGAUCCUUUUUCGUUUUGAUAAUUUUUCUAGUACUGUGAAUUAGGUCUUGUUUUUUUUCUGUGUAAUUUUACUGAAUGGGGAUAAGUAUUGAGUUGAAUUAAGUUUUAGGGUUUCUAGAACUGUGGAAGAAGAAUAUAAAGAUCGGAUCUUUAGUGCAUAUUGACCCAAAGGUGUGGCCUAGUGAUCAAUGAAGAUUCAAAUCUCAAUGGAGACAUAAAACACUAGGUGAUUUCUUCGCAACUGUCUAAGCCUUGAUGAAUAAAAUUACCCGCUAUCUGUAUUGGUUGGAGAUAGCAGGCACCUCAUGGAAUUAGUCUAGGUGCGCGCAAACUGACCCGAACGCCACCGUCAUAAAAAAAACUCUCAAAAACCAGAUGGAAAUGAACACAUCUAUAGUGUACACCCAAUAUGUUUUACUUUUUUUUAGUGCAUAACUGCAAUUGGUCUUGGAGAUCUCAUAAAUUUGUGUUUGAAAUGAGAACACGUCUGAUUUGAUCUUGUGUUCAUGAAAGGAGUUUUCUAGGUUUGACCUUUGUCCAAUUAUAAGCCUAGUGGAUGCUGCUGAUUAGUUGUUUAAGGUGUACGCAUACUUUCUUUUUUUUGAGAGGGGGAGAGGGAAGGGAGGUUGAGUAAUUUUGUGGUUGUUGCCGACUUUUAAUGUCUAAGAGCAUACAAGUGCACCCUGUUUGCUCAUCAGGUCAUGAAUGCUUAUGUUAACAACAUUUCCGGUCAUUUUCCAUUCACCAAUAUUUACGUGUGAGGCCAUGAUGAAAUAGGUUAUAUUCUAUAUUUCUCGAACUUGAGAUGGGUUUGUGACGUUUGUCACUACAUGAAGCUACUACGGUUUAGUCCCUGGAUAAGAUAAAUGGCUUGUUUAUGAACAUAAACUCCUUCGCCCAACUUGAUAGUAGAGGGUAGACCUUGACUAAGCACAAUUAGCAGAUACAACUUGCUAAUUUUGAGUCCACAUGUAUUAGACUACGUCAAUUGAUCAAGCUUGAGUACAGGUUUGUCUAUGGAUCUAACAAGAUCACAUUCAAUUUUUAGUAGCCUUUUAAUGUCUUUCGAGGGGUCCUUAAAAGUGGUCAUACCAAUGUCUUAUCCACUUGAAAAGAAUACAUGUAACAUUGAUAUCAAGUGGUUUUAUUUGUACCAUGUAAGGUGGUGUUAAUGCAACCACAAUUCGUUUGUGAUUAUGACACCGACAAGCUAUGUUAUCCAAUAGUAAUGCAGAUUUUAUAUGGUUUCCUGAUAGGGUUGCUAAUCGCCUAAUACUCUUUACCGAUCGUCCAAUAGCAAUACUAGAUCGUAUAUGGUCGUAUCCUAUGUUACUCCAAACAUCCGAAUCUGAAGGGAUAUGAACAACUAAUGGUUUUAGAAGCAUCCAACUCCAUCUAUGAGUUCCGGAAACUUAAGGGAAAAAGGUUCUAGUAUAUAUUUUCAUUUUAUAGCUCAUCUCUUAUGAGUUUUGGAACUUAAGAAAUAUAGGAUUCUCUUUUAACGUAGUACUUAUUUCAUCUCAGCUCAUCAAUUAUGAGUUUGAAAUUUUGCAGAAUAUAGGAUUCUCUUUUCUCCUAGUUUACAUUUUUGUAUUAUACUCCUCCCUUUUCAGUUUAUGUGUUUUAGUUUGACUGGGCACAUAGUUUAAGAAAGUAAGGACGGCUUUUAAAUCUUAUGCUCUUAAACUAAAGAUGUAUAUAAUGUACCAAAAAUGUUCUUGAAUCUUGUGAUCUUAAAUAUGCCAUGUGGAAAGUUGGAGUAAAAGAGUUACUGUCUAAGUUGCUCGGACACGGGUGCGGAUCUAGAGGUCGGACCUUUCGAGAUGUAAAUUCUAAGAUUUGGUGACAAGGAUCCUAGUAUGGAUACGGGUGCGGGGAUCCGGUUAAAAAUAAUUCAAAAAUAUAAAAAUAUAAAAAUAUAUCUAAAUUGUGAGAAAUUUUGUGGAAUACUUAUGUAUAGCUUGUAAAGUGUGGAUUUCUUUUUUAUUCUCUAACUUGAAGCAUUGAUUUCCUAGAUAGCUAUGCUAUUUUCUUCAAAUUUACCCUAGUUUUGGUUCUGAUUUCGAGAAUCAAAUUGUAUCUCAUCUCGAAUUUUCCCGUCCGUCGCGGUCAAAGUACCAAAAAUUGUUUGACCAAAUCCGGUACGGAUCCCACCCACACCCAUACUAGUGUCGUGUCGACACGGGUACGGCACCUAAACUGCCGUGUCGGAGCAACUUAGGUUACUGUAUAUAGAAAGAGGGUUUCUUUUUAUGACAGACUAAAACGGAAAGUAAGAGACAUAUAUUGAAACGGAGGGAGUAGCAGAUUUGUUCUCUCUUACUGUCUUAUUAGGUAUAAUCUCAUUGUUUCAGUAGGAGUUCGGGCAUGCUCUUAGUGGAUACCUUAAAGAGUAUAUUAGAUAUGCUAAUUGAUGCAUCUAUUUUUGCUUGUGCCAGAAUAUUUUUUAUAGAAGCUUCAAAUCUGGAAGCUGAUCAUAUCUGUUUUUACCUUUUCAUCUACUCCUGAACUAUUAUUUGGAUUAUAUCUGCUAUACUACUUCCGUGUCUUUGAGAGGCAAAUCGGUUCGAACAAAUAUUCUGUUUUCCUGCUGUUCUCUUUUGUACUCUCUUUAUUGCUUGCAGUUCUUGCUCUACAACUUAUUAAAGGCUCCCAAACUGGUGGAAGCGGGGGAUGAGAUGCGGCUAAUAUGGGAGAUAAGAAAUAGUGAUGUUUUGAGGUUGUACAGAUAUGAGAAAGUACAGUAACUAAGAACAUUCUUCAUCCUAAUUUUUUCAAAUGCUUAUAAGGAUACAUCUGCAUAACCAAGUAGGACGACAGCUUGGAGGGAAGGCUCUCCAGAUGCCCGUUCGCAGAUUCUUCUGAGCAAUUUGUUAGCCGUCUUUUGCUGCCAAAGACUCUUGACUUGCUGUCCAAGUCUCCUAAUGCGUUUGCAAGGCUCUUAGCUUGUUACACUUGGCUUGCUGCCCAAGUUUCAAAGAUACCACAAAUUGGAGAUAUACAGAAGACAGAAAGACAUAAAUCACCUUUAAACAUCUUUUCAAAAAAUACAAAAAUAUUAAAAAUACACCUUUUAAACAUAAAAUGAUGAAAUACCCUUAUAACACAGACGGAAAUAGAUAAAUAGCUAAACCGAGAAAGGAACUACACUUAACAAUUACAAGUGUAGAAACAUUCCAAAAGCAACACGAAGUUUAAAUUCAGAUUCCCCUUUGUCCUUAUAAUAUUCCCCACACUUUCUGGCCAUAAUAUCUGCAUUAGUGAAGGGGAUGUUUAGUUUGGGUAUCAUGAUUCAGUCCCCUGAAUUAUCUGAUUGAAUUUUUCCAUGUUUAGUUUUAUGGUUUUCAUUGUAAUCAUCAUUUCUAGUCUGUAUAACAUAAGUUGCAUAGUGAGCACUUGUUGCUUUUGACUAUUUUUUCCUACUCUGGACUGAUAUAAAAUGACAGCCUGAAGGGGUCUAUAUUCUUCAUUCUCCUUAUAGUUGUAGCUUGUGAUUGCAACUCCUUCAAACAGUUAUACCUGUUUUACAGUAACCAUGCAGCAUAUCAUGUAAAGAUGUUUAAAAAAAUAUGUAACAACUGUGAUUAUCUUUCUUUUUCCUUA